ensembl:lncRNA
CAAAUAUUUAUAUGGGUUGUUUGUAUAGACAAAUGUAAGAGCUUCAUGUUUGCUUUCCUUCCUCCUUAGAUUGUGAUCUUCAAACACAAAGUCAUCAUUUCAUCUCAACACAUACGCCCUUUUAUCAACAACAACAUUUGGUUCCUGCGUAUACAAUGUAUAACUCUGAUCCAGCUGAUGCAGACAUAACCUUCUUCUGAAAUGUUCCAGAAUGCAUUACAUGUAAACAAGGGUGGGGUGAUGCGGUUGCUCCAUAUCACUGAAAAAAAAAAAAAGUUUUGCUGACUAUAGAUUUUACUGUACAGAGGCCUGCAAAACAGAGCCACCUGGGAGAGUUUUGCCGACUAAUCCUGGUUCUGCCAUCCCUCACUGGGCCUGUGUCAUCUCUUUCCACUUUCUCCUCCUCUGUCUGCACUUUACAUAACAAUCCCCACCCAAGUCCAUGGGCCAGCACAAUGCCUGCAGCAGUGGUUUGAUGUCUUUUAAAAGCUUUGACUGGCCCCACAGGCCUCCUGUGUGUCCUUUCCUAGGCUUUGUGGCCAGGAGAGAUGGACAGCUCAGUUGUGACCUAGAGCUCCUGGUCUGCAAGAGUGUGUUUGAAGGCAGGGGGUUGAUUGUUUUAGAUUUGAGUUGGCUGUGCUUGUACUGAUGGUGUGUGAUGCUCUGGGUGGGUGGCGAAACAUCAGGGAGAUUAUAUAUGAGGUGUAUAUGCUGCCGUUCAAAAGAUUGGGAUAAGUUCGAUUUUUAAUGUGUGGGUUUUUUAAAGAAGUUUCUUAUGCCCAUCAAGUCUGCAUUUAUUUGAUCAGAGAUAGGCUACAGAAAGAAAUUGUAUAUUUAUUAUAUAAUUUAUUCCUGUGAUGUAAAGCUGAAUUUUCAGCAGCCAUUACUCCAGUCUUCAGUGUCACAUGAUCUUUCAGAAAUCAUUCUAAUCUGCUGAUUUAUGAUCAGUGUUUAAAUGUUGUCAUUGUUUUGCUUAAUAUUUUUUUGGAACAUGUGCUACUUUUUUAAGGAUUCUUUGAUGAAUAAAAAACGUUCUUAUAACAUCAUGAGAACGUUCAAAUAACAUCAUAAUUUCAUUCCGAGAAUGUUGUCCUAAGAACGUUUUCUCUCAAUUUUAUGAGAAUAUCAAAU